GGAAACACCAUCUACGUCUAGUGCCAAAAAGCGCCAAGAACAUAGCAGUCGUAUAAUUUGUAAUCACUCCCACAAAGAAGAAAGCCGAAAGAAAAAACAACCUAUAAUUCGAGGCUCCUCGCCCACAAACUACCACUGGCAAAGCCGGAGUGAGGCCAGCUGACUGAACUGAGCGACAGGAGGAUCUCUGCGGCCGGACCAUGUGAGUUCCUGUCAAAUCACCCGUACUAGUACAUCACAUGUGGAGCUACAGAGACAAGGGAAUUAAGAGGAGGUUCCCAGCAGAGCUUCAUCGUCAUGCUUGCCUCCGCACAUCAGAUCAAGGGAAUUAGAUGGACGGCCCAGAUGGAGCGAAUCUCGAUCGCCGGAACCCAGAUGCAGAGCUUCAUUCCCCGGGGAUCCAGAUCGGGUUCUCUCGUACGCGCGCAUGCAGACCUGCGACUGGGUGGAGUAAAAUCACGUGCUGCGAGCAAAGCGGGCAAGUGCUACCGGCUCGAACCUGGACCUGGAUCAAGUAAUCAUCAAGACAGUUCUGGCAAAUACUAAGAUAUACCUGUGUCUGUCUGCCAGUCAGUCUUCAGUUGCUCGGCCACUUCUCACGAUCAUCUCCAUUUAUUACACACAUUCUGCAGAAAACUGAGAGUUCAUUGAAUGCGAGAUCCGAUCCGGCCACAGAGAAGAUGAAGAGCUUUAAUGCACGAGGAGAGUAAUGUGUGCUAGCAGUUAAAUUCACAACAUUGUCCCCUCGCAAAAAAUAAAAAUAAAAAAAAUCACGACACUGUCUUACCAAUGAGACCGCCAGAAUUGACAAAUAUGACCCUUCUUUUUCAUACUCGGAAGCACAAAAAAAAGAAACUCUGUUCAGACUGCGACCACACACAAUGGAAGUGCUCCAGAGAAGAUCAUGCCUGCAGCAGGACAAAGAGUGAGUCAGCUUCAUGCUGGCGAUCUGCACCAACCAAACGAUAUACGUAUUACGUGUUCUACCCAAUCAAUACGGCGUUCUGCAGAUCAGAUAACCGGUGCAUGCUCACAGUCACAGAGGUCUGAAAUAUGAGAAUUUCAAGUGAAAACAUAAGAGUUACUAUCAAGG
rnacentral:lncRNA from 1 species